GUCUAUAGCCAUACUGCCCUGAACAAGCCCGAUCCCAUCUGAUCUUAGAAGCUAAGCAGGGUUGGACCUGGUUAGUACUUGGAUGGGAGACCACCUAGGAAGACCAGAUGCUAGGCG
rnacentral:rRNA from 1 species